GGCAGAAAGCGCUCCGGCUACGGCUGGGGAAGAGCUUCUUCCAUUCCAAAGAACAUAGCCGCCGUCCUCAUGUCCCUUCAUCAACUGGAACCGACGAGACGAAUUAGCGUGAGCUAAUUCGCACGUCGGUCAGUUCGGCCAGCGCGGCAUAGCGCGCCAUAAGGCGCAGCUUUGCUGCGACUGACGGCGCAAGCGGGCACGGGCCGGUAGCUCAGGUGGUUAGAGCGCACGCCUGAUAAGCGUGAGGUCGUAGGUUCAACUCCUACUCGGCCCACCACUAUUGACGUCUCGCGUGGCCUACGCCGCCGGACGCGGCAAAGCCGCGCCCUCUGGCGCAGGCUCUGCCACGCCGAUCGUGCUUGUCGCUGUCGCGAAUUAGCUUUGGCUAAUUCGUCGUGCGACUGUGCAUGGGGGCUUUUAGCUCAGCUGGGAGAGCGGUUGCUUUGCAAGCAUCAGGUCAUCGGUUUCGAUCCCCGAUAAGCUCCACCACGCACACCCGACCGAACAUCCAGUUAGGAUGAAGAUACGAGAUCCUCCUGCAUCGUAGUAGGAGUAGCGUCGCCUUUUGGGCGCACGCGUCUUUGACAUUGUGAAUGGGUUUUUCAAAUCGAUGCCGCGACGGCGUUGGUUUCUGCAGCGGGCUUCGGCUGGCUGGGGAAGCGAAUGUCGGUCGUAAAUAUUAGGCUGAGAUUUUUAACCGCACCAUGGGUUCUCAUCAAAGUGUUACUUUGAUGGGCGCCCUAUACAGGCAGCGUUUGCCGAGUGGUUUCAUGCAUCGGGCUUGCCCGGCGCGUGAUGCUCAGCGCUGUUGUUGGUGGUGUGGACUCUCAAGCGUGAGGUAA
rnacentral:tRNA from 1 species